rnacentral:rRNA from 1 species
CCUACGGGUGGCAGCAGUGAGGAAUAUUGGUCAAUGGGCGGGAGCCUGAACCAGCCAAGUCGCGUGAAGGAAGAAGGUACUUAGUAUUGUAAACUUCUUUUGUCGGGGAACAAAGGCGGAGACGCGUCUCCGGAUGCGUGUACCCGCAGAAAAAGCAUCGGCUAACUCCGUGCCAGCAGCCGCGGUAAUACGGAGGAUGCGAGCGUUAUCCGGUUUUAUUGGGUUUAAAGGGUGCGCAGGCGGGAGAUCAAGUCAGCGGUAACAUGUCGGGGCUCAACCCCGGCCGGCCGUUGAAACUGGUUUGCUAGAGUUGGAGAGAAGUAUGCGGAAUUCGUGGUGUAGCGGUGAAAUGCAUAGAUAUCACGAAGAACUCCGAUUGCGAAGGCAGCAUACCGGCUCCAUACUGACGCUGAGGCACGAAAGCGUGGGGAUCGAACAGGAUUAGAUACCCGAGUAGUC